GAUGAACGCUGGCGGCGUGCUUAACACAUGCAAGUCGAACGAAGCACUUUAACUUGAUUUCUUCGGAAAGAUUGUUAUUGUGACUGAGUGGCGGACGGGUGAGUAACGCGUGGGUAACCUGCCUCAUACAGGGGGAUAACAGUUGGAAACGACUGCUACUACCGCAUAAGCGCACGGUAUCGCAUGAUACAGUGUGAAAAACUCCGGUGGUAUGAGAUGGACCCGCGUCUGAUUAGCUAGUUAGCGGAGUAACGGCCCACCAAGGCAACGAUCAGUAGCCGACCUGAGAGGCUGACCGGCCACAUUGGGACUGAGACAUGGCCCAAACUCCUACGGGAGGCAGCAGUGGGGAAUAUUGCACAAUGGGCGAAAGCCUGAUGCAGCGACGCCGCGUGAACGAUGAAGUAUUUCGGUAUGUAAAGUUCUAUCAGCAGGGAAGAAGAAUGACGGUACCUGACUAAGAAGCACCGGCUAAAUACGUGCCAGCCGCCGCAGUAA
rnacentral:rRNA from 1 species